AGAGAUUAAACUGAAGAGUUUGAUCCUGGCUCAGAUUGAACGCUGGCGGCAUGCUUUACACAUGCAAGUCGAACGGCAGCGCGGGCUUCGGCCUGGCGGCGAGUGGCGAACGGGUGAGUAAUAUAUCGGAACGUACCCAAGAGUGGGGGAUAACGUAGCGAAAGUUACGCUAAUACCGCAUACGAUCUAWGGAUGAAAGCAGGGGAUCGCAAGACCUUGUGCUCCUGGAGCGGCCGAUAUCUGAUUAGCUAGUUGGUGGGGUAAAGGCCCACCAAGGCAACGAUCAGUAGCUGGUCUGAGAGGACGACCAGCCACACUGGAACUGAGACACGGUCCAGACUCCUACGGGAGGCAGCAGUGGGGAAUUUUGGACAAUGGGGGCAACCCUGAUCCAGCAAUGCCGCGUGAGUGAAGAAGGCCUUCGGGUUGUAAAGCUCUUUUGUCAGGGAAGAAAAGGCUGCGGCUAAUAUCCGCAGCUGCUGACGGUACCUGAAGAAUAAGCACCGGCUAACUACGUGCCAGCAGCCGCGGUAAUACGUAGGGUGCAAGCGUUAAUCGGAAUUACUGGGCGUAAAGCGUGCGCAGGCGGUUUCGUAAGUCUGUCGUGAAAUCCCCGGGCUUAACCUGGGAAUGGCGAUGGAGACUGCGAGGCUAGAGUUUGGCAGAGGGGGGUAGAAUUCCACGUGUAGCAGUGAAAUGCGUAGAGAUGUGGAGGAACACCGAUGGCGAAGGCAGCCCCCUGGGUCAAAACUGACGCUCAUGCACGAAAGCGUGGGGAGCAAACAGGAUUAGAUACCCUGGUAGUCCACGCCCUAAACGAUGUCUACUAGUUGUUGGGUCUUAAUUGACUUAGUAACGCAGCUAACGCGUGAAGUAGACCGCCUGGGGAGUACGGUCGCAAGAUUAAAACUCAAAGGAAUUGACGGGGACCCGCACAAGCGGUGGAUGAUGUGGAUUAAUUCGAUGCAACGCGAAAAACCUUACCUACCCUUGACAUGGAUGGAAUCCCGRAGAGAUYUGGGAGUGCUCGAAAGAGAACCAUUACACAGGUGCUGCAUGGCUGUCGUCAGCUCGUGUCGUGAGAUGUUGGGUUAAGUCCCGCAACGAGCGCAACCCUUGUCAUUAGUUGCUACGCAAGAGCACUCUAAUGAGACUGCCGGUGACAAACCGGAGGAAGGUGGGGAUGACGUCAAGUCCUCAUGGCCCUUAUGGGUAGGGCUUCACACGUCAUACAAUGGUACAUACAGAGGGCCGCCAACCCGCGAGGGGGAGCUAAUCCCAGAAAGUGUAUCGUAGUCCGGAUUGUAGUCUGCAACUCGACUACAUGAAGUUGGAAUCGCUAGUAAUCGCGGAUCAGCAUGUCGCGGUGAAUACGUUCCCGGGUCUUGUACACACCGCCCGUCACACCAUGGGAGCGGGUUUUACCAGAAGUAGGUAGCUUAACCGYAAGGAGGGCGCUUACCACGGUAGGAUUCGUGACUGGGGUGAAGUCGUAACAAGGUAGCCGUAUCGGAAGGUGCGGCUGGAUCACCUCCUUUCU
rnacentral:rRNA from 1 species